GACGAACGCUGGCGGCGUGCUUAACACAUGCAAGUCGAGCGAUGAAGCACCUUCGGGUGUGGAUUAGCGGCGAACGGGUGAGGAACGCGUGAGGAAUCUGCCUUCCACUCUGGGAUAACUCCGGGAAACCGGGGCUAAUACCGGAUAUUUUCAACUGGCGGCAUCGCCGGUUGAAGAAAGUUUUUCGGUGGAAGAUGACCUCGCGGCCUAUCAGCUGGUUGGUGAGGUAAAGGCGCACCAAGGCGACGACGGGUAGCCGGUCUGAGAGGGUGACCGGCCACACUGGGACUGAUACACGGCCCAGACUCCUACGGGAGGCAGCAGUGGGGAAUACUGGGCAAUGGAGGAAACUCUGACCCAGCGACGCCGCGUGAGGGAUGAAGGCCUUCGGGUUGUAAACCUCUUUCAGCAGGGAAUAAGCGAAAGUGAAGGUACCUGCAGAAGAAGCACCGGCUAACUAUGUGCCAGCCGCCGCGGUAA
rnacentral:rRNA from 1 species